AAUAUGCUUGUGUAGAAUUUUAACAAGGAAAGCUUGGUUGCACAGAAGGGAUUCAUUGGGUGGGAUUUUGAUAUGUGCUUCAGGAAAUUAACCAUUCUCAAGACAAAAACCUUGCUGUGACUCUCUGAAUACAUGAUAUUACUCAUUAUUUCAAAGACAUCAGCCACGUAAAAAUUACUUGCUGUUACUAUAAAGAAUUUUUAAGACUAAUUUUAUUGAAUGGUAGCCUGUUUUUCUCUGAAGUUUAUAACACUCCAGUCAUAUCAAGGAAUGUGUAUGCAAGAGCUCACAAGGCCCAUACAUCCCUCUGGGGUUUUUGAGGGGCACAUGGAGGUCACCAGCCAAAGGCAGCAAUCCAUUUCCUCCACACCAGCAUGGUGGAGGAACUGGGACAGGAGGUGUAAGGUCCUGGCAGGUCCAGUGCAAUGUCACAGUAGGAGAGUGCCAGCUGGAACCCCACUUUGUGCUGGGUGUGAUGCGGGGGUUACCAGGAUUCAAAAGAAUUCAGGAAGAGCUGGGAACAAUGGUGAGUUAUCCAGGGAGCUGUGUAUCUUCUGCGCUGACCUGUUGGAAACACUGCAGCUGCUUGGCAUUUUAGAAGGUUCAGAAAAGAUCCACUGAAGCAGAGGGAAUUUGCUCAAGGUCAUUGUUUCCUGGCGAAUGUUGUGCCUUAAUGGCAUUCAGGGCAGCACUGGUGGGAAGGAGCAAAUGAGCCCAGCUGGGACCACCAGCUCUGAGGGUUUUGGGCCCCCACAGCGAAGCCUGGAUCAGCUCAAAACACCUGUCAAGGACAUACCUGAAGAGAGAGAAGUUUAAGUAGUGCUGGCAGACAAGAAACCUGCUUCCCAGCCUGUCUCCUCCGUUGCCUGAAUAUCAGGGGUAUAAGGAAAUGUUUGCUGACUACAGCACGUCCAAAUGUGAAUUACAACAGAACUGUAAGGGUCUGGGUCCCAGGAACUCAGAAACCAAAUCUUUCCUUUACCAUCCAAGUGAUGUGCCAAAGAGAUGUGACACUGGCAGGAGUGUCUCUGGAAGACCAGCAGAGCCAGGGACUCUGCACUGCACUGGCAAGGUCAACAUUGCCAAGAACCCUGACUUAACUCCCUCCUCCACCUGUGUCCUCUGCACAGAUACCCCACCUGUAUUACAGAAAAAAAAAGGAAAAUCUAAAGACCGAAGAUGCGUGUUCCUCACCAAACUUUUGAGAAUGGACAUAAGUGAUGUGACAGGUCAGCAGGUGAGAUGAAAGGCUUUUUAAUAGUACUGACUCUUGCUAACUUAAGACCAAAGUCCAGGCUGACAGAGUAUGAAGUUUUUCUCCAGUCUCCAGUGCACCAGAAACUGAAGAUGCUGUUUUCUCUUUGUCUAGUAUGCUGUAUGUGUGGAUUCUGGUGAGGGUAUCGCAUGGGGUUUUUAAGAACCAAUUCUGGUCCUUCCUUUCAUCUUAGGUUUCAGUUCAUCAGGUUUGAGAAAUGUGUAUUAAAAAAAAAAAAUUUUUUUUUCCCCCUGAAGUCAGGGGGCAAAAAUGGAGUAUGUUAUCUUCAGAGCAGGACAGUGAUGGAUUAGAAAUCCAGCACGAACCAGUAGUCCUGUGAGCUGCAAAUCUGAUAGGGCUUUGUUUCCCUUGGGCAAAUCUUUGGAUUCUCCUAGGUCUACAUAGCUGAAAGCUCUGGCUGCAGCUUUUCCUGUGGGUGGGUAUUCAUAACAUCUUUCAUCAUUGCAGCUUUCUUGGUGUUUAAUAAGGGUUUAACUCAAGUUGCAGUGGGUCUCCUUUUUCUUAGCAGCCUGUUCUUAUGAAAUGUAUAGGAAUGUAGCAUUUUCAGCAUUUUAUUGCUCUGUCAGAUGUGGUUAAAAUUGGCUACUGUUUGUUCUUGUUCCCUUUCUCUUGCACAACACACAAGUAUGUACAAGCACGUAUGUGUGCACACAUGCGGACGCACACAGAGAUUUAUUAUACAUAUGAAGAGAUAAUGAUCUCAAACCCCUUUUAAUUUCUGUAGGAAUCCAGGCUAGGUAAGAAAGUAUUGGAAUGCUAUUUCUUUGGGAGAGGAAAAGGAGGAUGAACUAAUUUUUUUCUAUGCAGCAGACAGAAUAUUAAAUUACUGCUUUGUUUAAACGUAA